GCUCGGAUGCUGAUGCCCCCACUGCAUUCCUUGGAGUUGAGCAAAAUGAGUGACAACUUAAGACCGCCGGUCUCUUGGUGAAGUUAGC